rnacentral:rRNA from 1 species
CCUACGGGUGGCAGCAGUGGGGGAUAUUGCACAAUGGGGGGAACCCUGAUGCAGCGACGCCGCGUGGGUGAAGAAGCGCCUCGGCGUGUAAAGCCCUGUCAGCAGGGAAGAAAAUGACGGUACCUGAAGAAGAAGCCCCGGCUAACUACGUGCCAGCAGCCGCGGGAAUACGUAGGGGGCCAGCGUUAUCCGGAUUUACUGGGUGUAAAGGGGGCGUAGACGGCGAUGCAAGCCAGGAGUGAAAGCCCCGGGCCCAACCCCGGGACUGCUCUUGGAACUGCGUGGCUGGAGUGCAGGAGGGGUAGGCGGAAUGCCUGGUGUAGCGGUGAAAUGCGUAGAUAUCAGGAGGAACACCGAUGGCGAAGGCGGCCUGCUGGACUGCAACUGACGUUGAGGCCCGAAAGCGUGGGGAGCGAACAGGAUUAGAUACCCCAGUAGUC